rnacentral:rRNA from 1 species
GCUGUAAGUAAGCUUUGAUCCGGAGAUUUCCGAAUGGGGAAACCCCCUAUCCGUAAUGGGAUAGGAUCUUUACCUGAAUACAUAGGGUAUAGAAGGCAGACCCGGGGAACUGAAACAUCUAAGUACCCGGAGGAAGAGAAAGCAAACGCGAUUCCCUGAGUAGCGGCGAGCGAAACGGGAUUAGCCCAAACCAAGAGGCUUGCCUCUUGGGGUUGUAGGACACUCUACACGGAGUUACAAAGGAACGAGGUAAAUGAACAGGUCUGGAAAGGCCGGCCAGAGAAGGUAAAAGCCCUGUAGUUGAAACUUCGUUCCCUCCAGAGUGGAUCCUGAGUACGGCGGGACACGAGAAAUCCCGUCGGAAGCAGGGAGGACCAUCUCCCAAGGCUAAAUACUCCCUAGUGACCGAUAGUGAACCAGUACCGUGAGGGAAAGGUGAAAAGCACCCCGGAAGGGGAGUGAAAGAGAUCCUGAAACCGUGUGCCUACAAGUAGUUAGAGCCCGUUAAUGGGUGAUAGCGUGCCUUUUGUAGAAUGAACCGGCGAGUUACGAUUACAUGCGAGGUUAAGUUGAUGAGACGGAGCCGCAGCGAAAGCGAGUCUGAAUAGGGCGAAUGAGUAUGUGGUCGUAGACCCGAAACCAGGUGAUCUACCCAUGUCCAGGGUGAAGUCCAGGUAACACUGGAUGGAGGCCCGAACCCACGCACGUUGAAAAGUGCGGGGAUGAGGUGUGGGUAGCGGAGAAAUUCCAAUCGAACUUGGAGAUAGCUGGUUCUCUCCGAAAUAGCUUUAGGGCUAGCCUCAUGUAGUAAGAGUCUUGGAGGUAGAGCACUGUUUGGACUAGGGGCCCCCAUCGGGUUACCGAAUUCAGACAAACUCCGAAUGCCAAAGACUUAUCCAUGGGAGUCAGACUGCGAGUGAUAAGAUCCGUAGUCAAGAGGGAAACAGCCCAGACCACCAGCUAAGGUCCCAAAGUAUACGUUAAGUGGAAAAGGAUGUGGAGUUGCUUAGACAACCAGGAUGUUGGCUUAGAAGCAGCCACCAUUUAAAGAGUGCGUAAUAGCUCACUGGUCGAGUGACUCCGCGCCGAAAAUGUACCGGGGCUAAACGUAUCACCGAAGCUGUGGAUUGACAUCUUACGAUGUCAGUGGUAGGAGAGCGUUCUAAGGGCGUUGAAGCCAGACCGCAAGGACUGGUGGAGCGCUUAGAAGUGAGAAUGCCGGUAUGAGUAGCGAAAGAUGGGUGAGAAUCCCAUCCACCGAAUGCCUAAGGUUUCCUGAGGAAGGCUCGUCCGCUCAGGGUUAGUCGGGACCUAAGCCGAGGCUGAAAAGCGUAGGCGAUGGACAACAGGUUGAUAUUCCUGUACCACCUCUUUACCGUUUGAGCAAUGGGGGGACGCAGGAGGAUAGGGUAAGCACGCUGCUGGAUUAGCG